CCUACGGGGGGCUGCAGUGGGGAAUAUUGGACAAUGGGGGGAACCCUGAUCCAGCCAUGCCGCGUGUGUGAAGAAGGCCCUCGGGUUGUAAAGCACUUUCAGUGAGGAAGAACGCCUGGUGGUUAAUACCCAUCAGGAAAGACAUCACUCACAGAAGAAGCACCGGCUAACUCCGUGCCAGCAGCCGCGGUAAUACGGAGGGUGCGAGCGUUAAUCGGAAUUACUGGGCGUAAAGCGCGCGUAGGUGGCUUGAUAAGCCGGUUGUGAAAGCCCCGGGCUCAACCUGGGAACGGCAUCCGGAACUGUCAAGCUAGAGUGAAGGAGAGGAAGGUAGAAUUCCCGGUGUAGCGGUGAAAUGCGUAGAGAUCGGGAGGAAUACCAGUGGCGAAGGCGGCCUUCUGGACUGACACUGACACUGAGGUGCGAAAGCGUGGGUAGCAAACAGGAUUAGAUACCCGUGUAGUC
rnacentral:rRNA from 1 species